CGGGGCAUCCACACGGUGGUG
rnacentral:misc_RNA from 1 species